GUGACAUCACUGGGUCUUGUACCCAGGUGGUGUGAAUCUUCUCUCCUGCCUUGGUUCUUCCACGGGGGGCAUUGUGUCAUAUCGCUGGGUCCCACACAUACGUUAUGUGACUCUCCUGCCUGUGCCCUGUGCAUGUGGGUCAUUGUGACAUAUUGCUGGGUCCAACACCCAGGUGAUAUAACUCUACUGCCUAGGCCCUGCCUACAGAGGACAUUGUGUCAUAUACCUGCACCCAUCACACAGGUUCUGCUUGCAGGGGAUAUUGUGACAUGUCAGUGAGCCUAAUACUAAGAUGUUGCCCAAAAAGAGAUUGUGACAUAACUUUGGGCCCAGCACCGAGGUGAUGUCUCCCCUCUCCUGCCUGGGGCUUGCCCACCGAAGAGAGAGUGACUUAUUGAUGAGUUCAGCACACAGG
rnacentral:lncRNA from 1 species